rnacentral:rRNA from 1 species
UACGUAGGGUGCAAGCGUUGUCCGGAAUUAUUGGGCGUAAAGAGCUCGUAGGCGGUCUGUCGCGUCUGCUGUGAAAACUCAGGGCUUAACCCUGAGCUUGCAGUGGGUACGGGCAGACUAGAGUGCGGUAGGGGAGACUGGAAUUCCUGGUGUAGCGGUGAAAUGCGCAGAUAUCAGGAGGAACACCGGUGGGCGAAAGG